GGCUCCAUAGUGUAGCGGUUAGCACAUCUGGUUUACACGCAGAAGGUCCUGGGUUCGUGCCCCAGGUGGAGCCA
rnacentral:tRNA from 1 species